UACGAAGGGGGCUAGCGUUGCUCGGAAUCACUGGGCGUAAAGCGCACGUAGGCGGCUUUCUAAGUCAGGGGUGAAAUCCUGGAGCUCAACUCCAGAACUGCCUUUGAUACUGGAGAGCUUGAGUCCGGAAGAGGUGAGUGGAACUCCGAGUGUAGAGGUGAAAUGCGUAGAUAUCUGGAGGAACACCGGUGGCGAAGGCGGCAUCCUGGACCGGCAUUGACGCUGAGGCGCGAAAGCUAGGGGAGCAAACGGGG
rnacentral:rRNA from 1 species